AAGGGAACCUGCAAGGCAACCGGGCACCUGGGGAAGAUGGGAGAAUGUGGCUGAGGGGAAGGUCAACUGGGUCGAGCUUCGGAAGCCACACAACAUCCAAUUAAUUGUUAAGUCUAUGUAAUGUAUUGAAAUCUUAAAUUUGCCUAUUUUUGUCCCACCAAAAUUCCAAAACUCACAAUUUCAAAGUUUAAGAAGCUGGAACCAGUGAGCGUUUGACAUUUCUGCUUGAAAAUCGACUGAACUUAUGAAUCGAUUAUCAACAUAGGUGGCGAUUAAUUCAUUUGAUAACUGAAUCAGCUAAAUGCUUCCAGCAUAAGUGAAAGGGUUGGGAACCAGCGGCUCACACACUUAAAAUGAACACAGUUCAAGUGUGAAGCAUGGUAAAGUUAGAUGGCUGAUGGCGCCAUCUAGUGGACGGAGUCAACUACUGCAAGUAAAGAAAAAACCCCUCUGUAAGUUCUGUUACUGUUCAGUUAAGUCCUGCACAUGUACUCGCAUGAAUUACUCCCCUCAAGACUAGCCCGGACAUGUAACCUUAACAGUGACACCCUUGACCCUUUAUCCAACAAGGAACCGUAAAUAACGUAACAAUAUCCGCGGACAUCCAAAAUGGCGUUACUGUGCGGCACAGUAAGGUCGGACAUCUAAGUGACUUCUCUCGGCCAAUCAGCGAAGACUGGAUAGUGUCCAAGCCAUCGGACCAAUCAGCAGCGGCCCAGAGCAUUUCCAACUUCCCUGUUUAUACCGGAACGCGCGAAGUACGGCUGCGUACUCCCAGGAAGUCCCAGCAUCAAAACAAGCAAUGUCUUAGUCACCAGUCAGUUACCAAGAGCUCCAAUGCAAACAUGGGGGGCACCGACAAGAGCGACAUGCUGGUCGACCUCUACCACACCCCCUGGAAAUCCAAGAGCGGGACUGCAAGGCUCUUGGUUUGGCUGGCCUGUCACUAAAGAACUUCAGGCUCCAGGUGUUCAAGGAUGCCAGCAGUCAGAAGCCAGUCACGUUUUGCCCUGGAAGGAGCUCAGCAGACCUCAGCACCUCUGUCGAUGUCCCCAGGCCUGUCCGGGGACACCGCAGCCACACCCCAGCUGAUCCUGUGCGGUUUGGGUUUGAUCCGUCCCAUUUCCAUGCCCCUGUUUACACCAGUUGGCAGACCUGCAAGCACUGCAGCAGGAAGGGAAACAUCAAGCGGUCAAAUGUGGUCUGCAGGGUGUGCAAGGUCCACAAGGUCCACCUGUGCCUCAGUGCUGAGCGCAACUGCUUUAUUGACUUCCAUGAGUCCGCUGCAUGAAUGACUGGGUUGGAUUUAGUGGACUCUGAUACAUGUUACAUUUGUUAUUUAUGUUAUAUCAUGUUUUGUUUUUUUUAUUUAUAUACAUAUAUGUAAAUAUAUGACAUAUAAAAUAUUCAAGUUCCAUAAAACAUGCUAAAAAUAAAUGCUCAUUUCAGUUUA